rnacentral:rRNA from 1 species
ACAGCCGUUGCACACGAGUCAGUCGAUCCUAAGCCCUAGGCGAAAGCCGAUGUCGAUGUACGGUGUGCUACCGCACGGUCCACACCCGACGGGCGAAAGGGAAUCCGGUU